GACAGAGGUGCCGAGCGUUAGGCGGAAUCACUGGGCUUAAAGCGUGUGUAAGCGGAUCUGUAAGUACCUUGUGAAAUCCCACGGCUCAACCGUGGAACUGCUUGGUAUACUGCGGGUCUUGAGCCACCUAGGGGCAAGUGGAACAAACGGUGGAGCGGUGAAAUGCGUAGAUAUCGUUUGGAACGCCAAUGGUGAAAACAACUUGCUGGGGGUGUGCUGACGCUGAGACACGAAAGCCAGGGGAGCAAACGGG
rnacentral:rRNA from 1 species